AGAGUUUGAUCCUGGCUCAGAUUGAACGCUGGCGGCAUGCUUUACACAUGCAAGUCGGACGGCAGCACAGAGAAGCUUGCUUCUUGGGUGGCGAGUGGCGAACGGGUGAGUAACAUAUCGGAACGUACCGAGCAGUGGGGGAUAACUAAUCGAAAGAUUAGCUAAUACCGCAUAUUUUCUGAGGAAGAAAGCAGGGGACCUUUGGGCCUUGCGCUGUUUGAGCGGCCGAUAUCUGAUUAGCUAGUUGGUGGGGUAAAGGCCUACCAAGGCGACGAUCAGUAGCGGGUCUGAGAGGAUGAUCCGCCACACUGGGACUGAGACACGGCCCAGACUCCUACGGGAGGCAGCAGUGGGGAAUUUUGGACAAUGGGCGCAAGCCUGAUCCAGCCAUGCCGCGUGUCUGAAGAAGGCCUUCGGGUUGUAAAGGACUUUUGUCAGGGAAGAAAAGGGCGGGGUUAAUACCCCUGUCUGAUGACGGUACCUGAAGAAUAAGCACCGGCUAACUACGUGCCAGCAGCCGCGGUAAUACGUAGGGUGCGAGCGUUAAUCGGAAUUACUGGGCGUAAAGCGGGCGCAGACGGUUACUUAAGCAGGAUGUGAAAUCCCCGGGCUCAACCUGGGAACUGCGUUCUGAACUGGGUGACUAGAGUGUGUCAGAGGGAGGUAGAAUUCCACGUGUAGCAGUGAAAUGCGUAGAGAUGUGGAGGAAUACCGAUGGCGAAGGCAGCCUCCUGGGAUAACACUGACGUUCAUGCCCGAAAGCGUGGGUAGCAAACAGGAUUAGAUACCCUGGUAGUCCACGCCCUAAACGAUGUCGAUUAGCUGUUGGGCAGCAUGACUGCUUAGUAGCGAAGCUAACGCGUGAAAUCGACCGCCUGGGGAGUACGGUCGCAAGAUUAAAACUCAAAGGAAUUGACGGGGACCCGCACAAGCGGUGGAUGAUGUGGAUUAAUUCGAUGCAACGCGAAGAACCUUACCUGGUCUUGACAUGUACGGAACCCUCCAGAGACGGAGGGGUGCCUUCGGGAGCCGUAACACAGGUGCUGCAUGGCUGUCGUCAGCUCGUGUCGUGAGAUGUUGGGUUAAGUCCCGCAACG
rnacentral:rRNA from 1 species